rnacentral:tRNA from 1 species
UCGGGGGUAGCUCAACCGGCAGAGCGACCGGCUGUUAACCGGUAGGUUGCGGGUUCGAGUCCCGCCCCCCGAG